GGGCCCUGAGAAGUCCCCCCGCCCCCUCCCCCACGGAGCACCGUGUAGAAAGCCGGUCUUCUGGGCUACAGCCCAGCACAGAAGAGGAGAUGCAGGCCACGCCGCCCAACACCUCACACUCCAGUUGUCCAUCUAAAUCAAGAAAAAGAGUAAAUGCAACCAAGAUGUAAGGGGUCUACAUUCAAGGAAAGGAGAAGGCAAGAGAGUAUGGUGGUGGGAUUUUCUGACUGCGUGGGUUUGCCCAGUGUGAAGUCUCUGUACUGUCGGUGCUGCCUUCUGGCUCAUGAGACUCUGUAGACAACACUAACGCUUAGGUAGCUUCCCAGUCACAGAUUUUGACAGAACGCCAGCCGGGGCCGACCAGGAUCAGCGUGGUGAGCCAGAGUGAUGACGGUAGAGUUCGUGGAGGGACGGGGAGACGGACGGUGGAGGACAGCCACAGUGACAACAGCCACAACUGGCUGGGCGCCCACCCCGUGCCGAGGACCCUGCCAGGUGCUGUGUUUAGAGUACGGCGUGAAUGCCGCAGAAAACUGAGCUCUGCUCCGACAGAGCAAAGGGGAUGAAGCGCCCGCCGGCCUGAGAGCAUGGUGACAUCCCCUCUGUCCUGGGACACGCCGUGGUUUUGAACAACCCCAGUUUCACAUUGCUGCUAUUUUGCUGUCCUUGUUGUUGUUAACGUUACCGUCCAAUCAUUCCCUCCUCACCGAGGAAAUUUGCAUCCCGUCCCCUCAGGUUAUUGUCUUAUUCACUUUCCAAGUCAAGAAUAUCACGUGGCUUCUUUGUCAGCAAGACUCAUUUAGCUCAGAUAAAUUCAUCUUGCUACCUAAUUUUUUCCCAGAGGAAAUAUGAAAAGUUUCUAUUUAUUUGUGAUAUUGAGAGCGCAAGUUAUAAGAGAGAUGUUUAAUCUCCUUGCAACAUAGAUAAUGACAAUUUUCCUCCCUUUUUUCUGCAUGAUAAUUCAAGUUAGUAAGGGUUUCAUUUUGCUCAAGACUGUUGUCUUUCUGUGCUUCUGUAUGAGACAGACCCCUUUGUAAUUGUCAAAUAGAUUUAUUCCAGUAUCCUUAAAGGUAAAUCACUGUAACCAGACUGAUAAUCAUUAUGCUGAUAUUCAAUUACAUGUUAUGUAUCUGUAAUAAUUAUCAGAUUAAUCUAUGCUUUCCAUGAAAAUAAUGUAAUAUUUACUCUGAUUAUCACUGGUUGUGUUGCCAUUUUUCUGUUUGAGGGAAGGACUGUCACCUGUUCUUGAUACCUUGCUUCUAUUUCUAAUCGUUGCCACCAGGUCAAGAAGUAAUGCUAGUGCUUAUGCCAGGGACAAGUGUAACCCCAGAGUCUAACGGAUGCCAGAGGAUGCUUGCUUUAUGCUUCUAUCCGAAUAUGUCUUUUUACUCAAGUAGCAAAUGAAUAAGUCACAUCCUUCCUCCACGUGGAUACGGUUUGCUGCAUGUGGCAUUCUGCAUGAGCCACCUUUUAUAUGACUGUUGGAUCCCUAGGACUUUGCUGUCAAGGAGCGCGUCUGCAGAAUCACCAAGUGCCUACGAACUCAACCUAACUCAAUAAAUAAUCAAUAUAAAUUCCUUCCAUUGUAAACUUUAUUUCAGGUAUCUUUUGCCAUAUUCUUUCCUUCUCUCUCUCUUUUUCUCCUCCAAACACGUUCACUUUUACAGAGCUUCUCUUUCUGUUUCAGGAAAAACAAAACCCAUUUACUUAAUUAAAGGUCCUGUUUGCCUCUUGCUAUGUGAUUUAGGAUGCAGAAGCCAUAAAAUUAAAACUCAGCUUCUGGACCCUCACAGAGAUUUCCCCCUUUUAAAUCACAAUCACAUCGGAAAGGAUUACACAGUUUUUCUUGGUGUUCUGAGACUCCCAGGACACUCACUCACCAGUUAUGUUCAAACUCUUAUACGGGCAGGGCAGGAAUCAACAUAGUGAAAACCUUAGCAGUUGCCUUUGUUUAUUUACUAGUUGACGGAGGGACUUUAAAGAUGUAUCAGAUAAUACUUUGCACGCAUUAUUCCACGUUCUCUCUCCAGACAGGCGUAAAUAGAGUCAGCUCUAGCAACAGAACUCCACUGAAACUUCAAGUACUUCAAUCAGUGGAGAUUUUCACAGAUUUCAAGUUUUCUUGGUAGUAGAUUAUAUGUUUGCAUGACUUUCCUGAGGUUUGCUUUAUUUCUGUUUUUAAAAACUUUCUUUGUUUUAUAGAAUAACUUGCUUAAUUGGUAUCUCUUUCCGAUAUGGGUCUCGCUGCUCGUGCAGAGGGAUAACUCCCGAGAAUGACGGCCCCGUGGGAGAGGAAAAGCAUAAACAGGGGCAUUCUGAGUGAUAGAGCGUUGCUAAAUCAACACAUCCAUCUCAGGAAUAAUUGUUGGGUUUGUCAGUGAGAAACCAUUAUGCAAUUUACGGAAAACCUUUAGGAAUAUACUUGUUCUCUCACUGCCAGUCAGCUCUUUUGGGUAUUAAAGCACUCUAUUCUUUCACAGGUAUGGUUUUUAUUUGUUUACUUGUUUAUUUAUUUGUGUUAGUGUGCAAGGAAAGGGGAGUCUAGAAGCUGGAACCAUGAAAUCCACACGGAAUUCUUUACAGAUUAGUAGUUGCGCAAUAUUUAUCUUUGCUGCUUACCUCGGAGGCUGGCCAAACCCUGAAACUUUAUCUAGGUUUUGCAACAUACAAUGAUCAUAUUUUCAUAGAUAUCAUCUUUGAAUUUGGCUUAGGUGUAGAGCAAAAUAUCACUUUAAAGGAUUAUUGUUCUUGCUGUUGAGUUUCAUAUUGUUUAGAGACAGGCAAGGUACCAUUUAAAAAAUAACCAGUAAGUUUUUGGGGACCCCCCCCUUACUCAAUAUGGCCGUAAGUCUUCUGUGGGAUUCAUGAGCUUUUAAGAUAAACACAAACCAUGUAACCAUCAGCUUGGACUCUGUUUAUUAAAGUGCAAGAAGUGAUUUUAAGAGCUGUGACUCUGGUUUUAAGAGGGAUAAAACAUUCUAGACGUUGUCAUGCAAAUUUGAGCGUGAACUUGUUUCUAGAAAUGGAUUUCUAGUCAUAACAUCUUUUUUUUUUUUCAGGGGCACUUGGAAUGUCUAUAUGGCAGAGUAAACCAUGUGAAAAAAAAAAAAAAAACAACAACACAUGGACCAUAAUCAGCAUAUGUUAUCCUCAGAAUUGUUAAGUUCUGAAGCCAGCAUAUUAACCAGAUGAUACAGAAAAUAUGUUCACAUUUGAUGUUUAAAGUCAUAUAGACAUGCGUUUUAUUCCAGUGUAUUUUGCUUUCCAUUUAAAAGUAUUUAAGCCUAAUUCUUACAAAUUUGAAGACCUAUAAAGGAUUCGGAACUUUGUAGAAGGACAAGACUUAUUCCUACAAGCCCUGUUUUGCAAACAUAAUCUUGUUCUUCUGUGCUUCAGUGCUCUCUUCACCGACUGAUAUGUAAGGUGUGAAAUACUUAAUAAUGUCAUCAAAGAGAUUCAUCCGUUUAUUUAUGUUUUAUAGUUAAGAGACUCAACCACAGGGAAAAAUGACUUGACUGUAGUAGUUAGCACUCUGUGUUUAGAAAUUAAUAAUUUAAAUUUUUAUCUGUUUACGUUUUUGACUUUUACAACUAAGGUCUUCUGCUUAGUUCUGAGAAGAAAUUAUUUUCCUUCCUUUGGAUUUUUUUGGCCAACUUUUGCAUCACAAUUUUGGCCAGUCCUCUCAUAACAGUAUUCCAGAAGUAAAUUGAAGAAAAAUGUGUAGAUAGUUCAUGUAAGCCUAUUUUCUUUACUUUACCCAACUAUAUUAAUUGAAAAAACUUCUUAAAGUCCAGUUUUAAAGUGUAUCUUUGUAUAUAAAGAUCUAUAAAUUAUGUAAGAAGUUCCUCAGAAAAACCGAAAAUUGGCUUUCUUUUCUUGUCUUGUCCAUGAUGCUGGUGAGUUAGAAAUUUAAUAUCCAUUUCCACUUUUUCAUUAAUUAGCAUAAAACUGCCUUGAAUAUUUUACUCUUCAUUCUAAGUUAAAUAAUCUUUCAAAAUCUCUCCAAAAGUAAAUCACUUAUAAAUGAAUCUAGGCAUCUCUUUUGCCCUUCACUUAACCUCCUAUAUCUCAGAUGCUUGGUAUUCUUUUGGGGAAAGGAAAUCAAAUUUGUAUGAGUCUUGGCCCUCUUUUUAAUGUAUUUAAUCCUCUUAUUAGCCUUUGUAACAGCAUCUUAACUUAGUGAUGACACCCUUAUUGAACCUGUGAUGGAACUUUUGGCUCUUAUAAGGAAGAGCCAUUUCUGGCAUUGACUCCAACCUUGUACCCAAGAAGCAUGGAAUAUUAAUGUAUUCUCAGUUCAGCGAGUAUGCUUGGCAGCCCACUGUGUUUUUAGUACAUCUAACUGAGUCAUAAGUAUCUCACAUUUUGAGGGGAGAGGAGCAGUCUUUGAAGGAGUAGGAAAGCCACUGGUUUCAAUAAGCCCUUGAGAAUUUGCUGCAGAUGUAGCACCUCUCUGAGCCUCAGAUUCACCAACUUGCCAAGAUACUGUACCUUUUUCUUUACUAUUUAUAUAUACUUAGCUAUAAACAGUUACCUGUGUACAUAUAUAAGUGCAUAUGUGUGUGUGUGUAUAUAUAUAUAUACAUAAAUACAUAUAUAUACACACACACACUCACACACACAUGCAUAUAUAUAUAGAAUUUCUAUGGGAAAGGGGCCCUCCCCUAAUUACCUCACUUUAUUUGUUCCCUAACACAGUACUGUGUUUUUGCAUGUGCAGAGGGGGGCCCAUCAAACCUUUUCCUGACUAUUCCUGACAUGCAUUGUGGGACAUCUUAGAGAUUUUUUUUUUCCUUCUCUAUCUUUUAUUGUCACCAUCUUACUGUAGAAACUUGUCAUCCCAGGCGAGGUUGGGUAACAGCUAAAUUCCUCUCAGGUCUCAGUCACUUCUGGAUGUUAUUUCCAGACUUUUCCAAAGUACCAUCUGAUACGAGAGUUCCCGGCCUCUGAAAGUGCAGUGUCUCCCAACUGACCAUUGUAUAAAUUCCAGGCUCUUUAGCCUACUCACAUAUAGCUGAAUGUAGGCUAAGAGAAGGUUACCAUACCAAGGAUAGUGUCUAAAAAUCAAGAUAAGCCUCCUGAUAGGCCAUAUUUAAUUCACCCAACAGACUUAUGGAGAAUAUGUUAUGACUGUUGCCUGUCUCGAGGAGGUACUGAGUACAUGUAGACAAGUGAGGCAUGGCGUGUCUUUAAGGAGCUUAGCGUCUGGUCGAGAAGAAAGACAUGUAAACAAGUAAUGCCAACAUAAGAGAAAUAGCCCAUGUGUGUGCGUGUGUCUGUGUGUCUGUGUGUGUCACUGUGUGUGGGAGGGGGGUUGCUCAGAGAAGAAAGUGGACAUGUACUCUACUAGAGAGAUUAGAAGUCCCUAGGGAGGAGGUGAUUAAAUUGAGUCUUGACAUUCAACGAAGUAUUUGCUAGGUGUGGUAGACGGACAAUUUCAAAGGACGUUUUAGAUAGAGGAAUUAGUAAGUUUAGUGUCAAGAGUCUUGAAACUAAAUGAGAGAUUUGAUGGACUUGAAAUCACAGGAUUGGAGAAAGAGAAGGAGGGAAAUGGCAAGCAGGACAGGCUUUGGUUCCCAGUAUAUGAGACAGGAGAGAGCUUCAGGACAAAGCCGUCUUCAGGUGGAAGACAGACCAGGAGAAUGGUGACUUUGGAGUCUGCUGAUUCAGUGUGGCUUGUUGUGGAAAUCCAGUCUGUGUGAGGAGCAAGCAAGCUCAGAACCUACUCUGCAGAAAAUGAGGCUGAAGAUCAGGUAGCAAGAUCUUAAUUAAGAAGAGACCUUGAAGAAACCAUGGCCAGCACCAAACACUGAGAAAGAGGAAAGAAUGAAGUUGAAUCAGCGCCCAGGUCAGUCACAGGCUUAUGGCAGAUUUCCACCUGUUUCCUAGGAGCAAGGUCGCCAUCCAUUUGCUAUGUUACAGAAGAAUGUGGAAUAUAAGAUCUAAGAGAGAAGAAAAGCUGUUCUGAGUGUUAAUCGUAUGUGGGUAAAUAAACCUUUUGAAUUAAGAAUUGAAGGCCUGGGUGCUUUUCAGUCUCAUGAUGUUUAACUUAUUUCUAUAAGUUUAAAUGAACAAAAAGCAAUCAGAUGAACAGCUCUUAAAAUGCACGAUGUGUGAAAAAUCAAAUCAGGAAUGCUUGGAGCAAAACAUUUAAGGCUUUAUUAUAUUGAAACCAUUUGAAAAAAUAUUCUGAAUGAUGGGCAAAUAGAAUAUGUGAUCAGGCUUAAUAAUUCAAAACUGACUUCUCUGUUUUCCAUGGAUGUAUUACUUUAUUAGUCUACAUGUAAUUUUCUUAAAAAUACUGUCUUCAAAACAAAAUAAUCAUUUUAAAAACAGUGUUGUCCUCCUCAUUGUAAAAAAUAUUUAGACUUUAAAUAUGUAUAAAAAUCUAGAAAAUUUGAAAAGUAGAGCAGUGAUCACACUUAAGUCCGCAUACGAGAGAGAGCUGCUGUUGGAGUCCCCGUUGUGGUGCAGGGGAACAGAAUCCAGCUAGUAUUCAUGAGGAUGCAGGUUCGAUCCCUGGCCUCGCUCAGUGGGCUGGGGAUCCCGCGUUGCCGUGAGCUAUUGUAUAAGUCAUAAAUGUGGCUGGAACCUUGUGUUGCUGCGGCUAUGGUGCACAACUGUAGCUCCGAUUCAAUCCCUAACCUGGAAACUUCCAUAUGCCAUGGGUGCAGCUCUAAAAAGCAAAAAAAAAGAAAAAAGAGAGAGAUACUGUUAAACUUCUGUUACAGAAAUCUCUACACCAUUUUAGGUGUGCAUGUGUAGUGUAGGCAGGCACACACACACACACACACAACUUUUUUUUAAUGGUCAAACUUGUGGCAUAUGGAGAUUCCCAGGCCAGGAACCAAAUACAAACUGCAGGUGCCACCUACACCACAGCUGUUGCAAUGCUGGAUCCUUAAUGCACUGUGCCAGCCCUGGGAUUGAACUCGUGCCACCGCAGAGACUACACUGGAUCUUUAACCUGCUGCGCCACAGCAGAAACUCCCAUACACACCUUUUUGUAUACUUAAUACUUCAAUCAAAAAGUCUUGUACCAUGUAUAUAUACUGUACAUGUUUUUACUUAAUAGAUUAACAUCGGGGUUUUGGGCUACUACUAUUUUAAUUGCUAAAUACUAUUUUAUGUCUAAGUAUUUCCUCUGGAUAAAUUCCUAUGAGUUAAGUUGCUAGUUUAUAUAAUAUAUUUAAGGGGUUCCCUCUGUGGCACGAUGGGAUUGGCAGUAUCUCUGGAGCACUGGGAUGCAGGUUUGAUCCCCAGCCCAGCACAGUGGGUUAAAAUAUUCAGCAUUGCCGUAGCUG
rnacentral:lncRNA from 1 species